rnacentral:rRNA from 1 species
AGAGUUUGAUCCUGGCUCAGGACGAACGCUGGCGGCGUGCUUAACACAUGCAAGUCGAACGGAAAGGCCCGGCUUGCUGGGUGCUCGAGUGGCGAACGGGUGAGUAACACGUGGGUGAUCUGCCCCUAACUUCGGGAUAAGCUUGGGAAACUGGGUCUAAUACCGGAUAGGACAAUCSUUUAGUGUCGGUUGUGGAAAGUUUUUUCGGUUAGGGAUGAGCCCGCGGCCUWUCAGCUUGUUGGUGGGGUAAUGGCCUACCAAGGCGUCGACGGGUAGCCGGCCUGAGAGGGUGGACGGCCACAUUGGGACUGAGAUACGGCCCAGACUCCUACGGGAGGCMGCAGUGGGGAAUAUUGCACAAUGGGCGCAAGCCUGAUGCAGCGACGCCGCGUGGGGGAUGACGGCCUUCGGGUUGUAAACCUCUUUCGACAGGGACGAAGCUUUGGUGACGGUACCUGUAUAARAAGCACCGGCUAACUACGUGCCAGCAGCCGCGGUAAUUKYCUWUMG